UCUGCACAAUUACUCCUCGUUUAUUAGAGUCCACUAGGUGAACUCCCAAACUAGACAACUGGUGAACCUCCCUGGCCAAUGGCCUCUGAUAUGCCUACAAAUGAGCCAAGCUCCCCAUAGAUUUUUGACUAAGAGCAUCCGCUACAAUAUUAGCCUUUCCCAGGUGAUAGAGAAUCUCAAUAUCAUAGUCCUUGAGUAACACGAGCCAUCCUCUCUGUCUCAGAUUCAACUCCUUUUAGUUUAAAAAAAAUAUAUUGAAGGCUCUUGUGUUCAUAAUACAUCAACACUGGACCCCAUACNNNNNNNNNNNNNNNNNNNNNNNNNGUCCACUAGGUGAACUCCCAAACUAGACAACUGGUGAACCUCCCUGGCCAAUGGCCUCUGAUAUGCCUACAAAUGAGCCAAGCUCCCCAUAGAUUUUUGACUAAGAGCAUCCGCUACAAUAUUAGCCUUUCCCAGGUGAUAGAGAAUCUCAAUAUCAUAGUCCUUGAGUAACACGAGCCAUCCUCUCUGUCUCAGAUUCAACUCCUUUUGUUUAAAAAAAAUAUAUUGAAGGCUCUUGUGGUUCAUAAAUACAUCAACAUGGACCCCAUACACAUAAUGUCGCCAAAUCUUUAUACAAAACUACCGCCGCAAGUUCUAAGUCAUGUGUCGAAUAGUUCCUUUCAUUAUUCUUGGGUUGCCUAGAGGCAUAAACUAUUACCUUAAC
rnacentral:lncRNA from 1 species